GACAGAGGCCUCAAGCGUUAGGCGGAAUCACUGGGCUUAAAGCGUGUGUAGGCGGAUCGUUAAGUACCUUGUGAAAUCCCACGGCUCACCCGUGGAACUGCUGGGUAUACUGGCGGUCUUGGGCCAACUAGGGGCAGCUGGAACAAGCGGUGGAGCGGUGAAAUGCGUAGAUAUCGCUUGGAACGCCGAAGGUGAAAAACAGGCUGCUGGGGGUUGUGCCGACGCUGAGACACGAAAGCCAGGGGAGCAAACGGGG
rnacentral:rRNA from 1 species